CCAGACUCCUACGGGAGGCAGCAGUGGGGAAUAUUGCACAAUGGGGGGAACCCUGAUGCAGCGACGCCGCGUGGGCGAGGAAGUAUUUCGGUAUGUAAAGCCCUAUCGGCAGGGAAGAAGAAAUGACGGUACCUGAAUAAGAAGCACCGGCUAAAUACGUGCCAGCAGCCGCGGUAAUACGUAGGGGGCAAGCGUUAUCCGGAUUUACUGGGUGUAAAGGGAGCGUAGACGGCGGCGCAAGCCAGAUGUGAAAGCCCGGGGCUCAACCCCGGGACUGCUCUUGGAACUGCGCGGCUGGAGUGCAGGAGGGGCAGGCGGAAUUCCUGGUGUAGCGGUGAAAUGCGUAGAUAUCAGGAGGAACACCGGUGGCGAAGGCGGCCUGCUGGACUGCGACUGACGUUGAGGCCCGAAAGCGUGGGGAGCAAACAGGAUUAGAUACCCCCGUA
rnacentral:rRNA from 1 species